AACCAACACCAAAGGGUGUGUCAUAAUUUAUGUGCAACUUCCUAGGUCAAAGGUCAAGGUCAAAAACUUUGGUUUCAGUUGACAACCCCAUGUCCUAUGGUAAAGAUCGUGUCCGCUCUAUAUCUUAAGAACCGUUAUCAUUUCAAAGUUUAUACUUGACAUGUUUAUAAACCAACACCAAAGGGUGUGUCAUAACUUAUUUACAACUUCCUAGGUCAAAGGUCAAGGUCAAAAACUUUGAUUUCAGUUGACAAACCCAUGUCCUAUGGAAAAGAUACAAUUUUUUAAUGCACAUUAUUCACAGCUGGGCCCACAGAGAUGGCUCCCAUCUCAAUGAUAUCUAGUUUUCGGAAAAAAUUAG
rnacentral:lncRNA from 1 species